AUCCAUCCGACGAGUUCCAAAUAGGACAAAACGUGCGUCCUGGAU
rnacentral:hammerhead_ribozyme from 1 species